CGAGUUGGUCGGGCGACCGCGUCGGAAUCGAUCGGCGUGAGCCGGUCGGAGCCGCCGAGGAAAGUCCGGGCUCCACAGGGCAGGGUGGUUGUCAACGGCAACCCGGCGUGAGCCGCGGGACAGUGCCACAGAGAACAGACCGCCACGCCAGGUCCGGCCGCGAGGCCGGAUCCGGCGGGGUAAGGGUGAAACGGUGGUGUAAGAGACCACCAGCGUGCCGGGUGACCGGCGCGGCUCGGUAAACCCCACCCGGAGCAAGGUUGAGAGCACCGCCGGCGGCACUUCGGUGCCGACUACGGUGUGCGCAGACGUUCGAGGGCGGCCCGCCCGAGUCUGCGGGUGAACCGCUGGAGCGUGCCGGCGACGGUACGCCGAGAUGGAUGGUCGCCGAACGGGAUCGCCGAGAGGCACCCGGGAACAGGACCCGGCUUACAGACCAACUCGUCCA
rnacentral:RNase_P_RNA from 2 species